rnacentral:snRNA from 1 species
ACAUUUGCACAGUGGCAGUAUCAUAGUCAAUGAGGUUUAUCCAAGGCUCGAUUAUUGCUAAUUGAAAACUUUUCCCAAUACCCUGCCAUAACGACUUGAAAUAUAGGCAGUCGGUGUUGGCAAUUUUUGGCAGUGUCUACAGAGA